AGUGAACGCUGGCGGUAUGCCUAACACAUGCAAGUCGAACGGCAGCACAGUAAGAGCUUGCUCUUACGGGUGGCGAGUGGCGGACGGUGGAGGAAUACAUCGGAAUCUACUUUUUCGUGGGGGAUAACGUAGGGAAACUUACUCUAAUACCGCAUACAACCUACGGGUGAAAGCAGGGGAUCUUCUGACCUUGCGCGAUUGAAUGAGCCUAUGUCGGAUUCGCUAGUUGGCGGGGUAAAGGGCCACCAAGGCCACGAUGCGUAGCUGGUCUGAGAGGAUGAUCAGCCACACUGGAACUGAGACACGGUCCAGACUCCUACGGGAGGCCGCGGUGGGGAAUAUUGGACAAUGGGGGAAAGCCUGAUCCAGCCAUACCGGGUGGGUGAAGAAGGCCUUCGGGUUGUAAAGCCCUUUUGUUGGGAAAGAAAAGCAGCAGGUUAAUACCCCGCUGUUCUGACGGUACCCAAAGAAUAAGCACCGGCUAACUUCGUG
rnacentral:rRNA from 1 species